rnacentral:rRNA from 1 species
CCUACGGGUGGCAGCAGUGAGGAAUAUUGGUCAAUGGACGCAAGUCUGAACCAGCCAUGCCGCGUGCAGGAUGACGGCUCUAUGAGUUGUAAACUGCUUUUGUACGAGGGUAAUAUCAGAUACGUGUAUCUUCUUGCAAUUACCGUACGAAUAAGGAUCGGCUAACCCCGUGCCAGCAGCCGCGGUAAUACGGAGGAUCCAAGCGUUAUCCGGAUUGAUUGGGUUUAAAGGGGGCGUAGGCGGUUUUAUAAGUUAGAGGUGAAAAUUCGGGGCUCAACUUCGGACGUGCCUCGCAUACUGGAUGACUAGAGAGUAGAUGCGGUAGGCGGAAUGUAUGGUGUAGCGGUGGAAUGCGUAGAGAUCAUACAGAACACCGAUUGCGAAGGCAGCUUACCAAACUGUAUCUGACGUUGAGGCACGAAAGCAUGGGGAGCGAACAGGAUUAGAUACCCCAGUAGUC